AGAGUUUGAUCAUGGCUCAGGACGAACGCUGACGGUGUGCUUCAUACAUGCAAGUCGUACGAAGAGGCCCUUUCGGGGGUACUUCAGUGGCGGACGGGUGAGUAACACGUAGGUAACAUGCCUCAUAUUGGGGGAUAACAUCGGGAAACCGGUGCUAAUACCGCAUACGCCAAGAGUUGAAAUACUUUUGGUUAAAGGAG
rnacentral:rRNA from 1 species